ACUCGCCGUCCCUCAGCCCCGUGCCUGAACCGUCCACCCAAAGUGACUCGCCGUCCCUCAGCCCCGUGCCUGAGGUCACCUCUGGACAAACAGCUAGAAAAGCCAGAAGUAAACUCAAGAUCUUUAAGAUACGCAGCAGUGCAAAGAUUGCACCAACUAAUGAUGCUUCUGACAAGGGGCUGGAGUCAGAGGCAACCGUCACUCGUGCCCUAUCGGAUGAGGGUAUUGCUGCCGCACCUUCUGGUGACAGGAAGGAGCCGCGCAGACGGCCCUGGUACAAGAAGAUCUUCCUCAGGCUCAGCUGUUUUGGAGGCCCAGCUGAGAUCUGACCUGUCCAGCCCACCACCUAUACCCUUACACCCCAUCCUAACCCAAGCCUUCACCCCUACCCAACUCCCCAACUUGUUUACCAUAUCCACCCAUCCUACCACACACACACACACACACACACACACACACACACACACACACACACACACACACAUCACCUAUGCCAGCCACAUCACAAGGCUGCCCAUCACCAGGGGCGGCGCUACAGGGGUGGCUAGGGGGGCAUUUGACCCCCCUGAAAUCUGAUUGGCUACCCCAGGUGCUCCCCCAGAAAAUGGACAGGAGCCCCGCCCACUCGCGUUACACGAGGCACAUAGAUCGCCUGCAAAUCGCUAUCGCGAGUGAAGAAACAGAGCCAUACAGAGAACAGAGUUAUGCGAUUGGAGGACCAGGAAUUAAAUUGCAGCCCCGCCUUUCAGCGAGAUAAGGUUGUUCCUAAAGCGGCUGUCUUCCCAUAGACUCAACAUAGAACCACCACAUUAACAGCCAAAAAUAAGGACUAACGAACUAUACUGCGGGGUAAUCACCAUAAAUAUGUAAACUAUCAACUGUCUCGGUGGUGAUAAUCACAACAGUUUUACCACCUGUGAUGUUUAUCUGAAGUUAUUACUACGAACAGCAAGUCUUGUCAUAUUCCCUGCAUUGCAUCGCAUUGCAUUUGCUGUGUGCUACGCCCACUACUAGGAACCAACAUUCGCAACGCUGAGCAGUACUGAGAAGCUAAAACAGCUAAUUUUGCUAAUGAGGAAGUCGGCCCUAGCAGACAGCGGAGAUCGCCUGACUCUGUUCUCUGUAUGGCUCUGUGAAGAAAGGAUAACCAUUUUUCCCACACACAUUUCGAUGCAAGUCUGUGUACACACCACACUCGUAAAUUUACAGUAGGCAUAUGGGGUACCAUUCGAAAGCUUAGAAUCCCCUCUGUCUAGUGGUAUGCAUGGCAACUCUCUGUCUUGUACGUCCAGAAGAAGAAAAGCCUUAGAGAAAAAAAAACUGCUUAUUUCAGUCCAGAUUCAUUUCGUUUUCCUUUUGGAAAGUUAGCUGUCUGCCAUUUAAGAUUUUUCAGUACUAGGCCUAUAUAUUGCUCUAUUGCCCAUGUGAUAAAUAAAUAGAUUCGUUUUUGGUGGUAAAUGAAAGUAGCUUCAUGAUUAAUUCAUGUGAA